rnacentral:rRNA from 2 species
GGGGAAUAUUGCACAAUGGAGGAAACUCUGAUGCAGCGAUGCCGCGUGAGGGAAGAAGGUUUUAGGAUUGUAAACCUCUGUCUUCAGGGACGAAAAAAGGACGGUACCUGAGGAGGAAGCUCCGGCUAACUACGUGCCAGCAACCGCGGUAAUACGUAGGGAGCGAGCGUUGUCCGGAAUUACUGGGUGUAAAGGGAGCGUAGGCGGGAUCGCAAGUCAGAUGUGAAAACUAUGGGCUUAACCCAUAAACUGCAUUUGAAACUGUGGUUCUUGAGUGAAGUAGAGGUAAGCGGAAUUCCUAGUGUAGCGGUGAAAUGCGUAGAUAUUAGGAGGAACAUCAGUGGCGAAGGCGGCUUACUGGGCUUUAACUGACGCUGAGGCUCGAAAGCGUGGGGAGCAAACAGGAUUAGAUACCCUGGUAGUCCACGCCGUAAACGAUGAUUACUAGGUGUGGGGGGACUGACCCCUUCCGUGCCGCAGCAAACGCAAUAAGUAAUCCACCUGGGGAGUACGGCCGCAAGGUUGAAACUCAAAGGAAUUGACGGGGGCCCGCACAAGCAGUGGAGUAUGUGGUUUAAUUCGAAGCAACGCGAAGAACCUUACCAGGUCUUGACAUCCAACUAACGAAGUAGAGAUACAUUAGGUGCCCUUCGGGGAAAGUUGAGACAGGUGGUGCAUGGUUGUCGUCAGCUCGUGUCGUGAGAUGUUGGGUUAAGUCCCGCAACGAGCGCAACCCUUGCUAUUAGUUGCUACGCAAGAGCACUCUAAUAGGACUGCCGUUGACAAAACGGAGGAAGGUGGGGACGACGUCAAAUCAUCAUGCCCCUUAUGACCUGGGCUACACACGUACUACAAUGGAUGUUAACAGAGGGAAGCAAGACAGCGAUGUGGAGCAAACCCCUAAAAACAUUCUCAGUUCAGAUUGCAGGCUGCAACCCGCCUGCAUGAAGAUGGAAUUGCUAGUAAUCGCGGAUCAGCAUGCCGCGGUGAAUACGUUCCCG